GACGAACGCUGGCGGCGUGCUUAACACAUGCAAGUCGAACGGAAAGGCCCCUUUGGGGGUACUCGAGUGGCGAACGGGUGAGUAACACGUGAGUAACCUGCCCUUGACUUCGGGAUAACUUCAGGAAACUGGGGCUAAUACCGGAUAGGAAUCCUUGCUGCAUGGUGGGGGUUGGAAAGCUUCGGCGGUUUUGGAUGGACUCGCGGCUUAUCAGCUUGUUGGUGGGGUAGUGGCUUACCAAGGCUUUGACGGGUAGCCGGCCUGAGAGGGCGACCGGCCACAUUGGGACUGAGAUACGGCCCAGACUCCUACGGGAGGCAGCAGUGGGGAAUAUUGCACAAUGGGCGGAAGCCUGAUGCAGCAACGCCGCGUGCGGGAUGACGGCCUUCGGGUUGUAACCGCUUUCAGCAGGGGCGAAGCUUGUGGUGACGGUACCUGCAGAAGAAGCACCGGCUAACUACGUG
rnacentral:rRNA from 1 species